ensembl:snRNA U6 U6 spliceosomal RNA
AUGCUUGCCUUGGCAGCACAUAGACUAAAACUGGAACAAUACGGAGAUUAGCAUGGCCCCUGAGCAAAGAUGACACACAAAUUUAUGAAGUGCUCAAUUUUUUU